UUUAAUAGUUACAGUUGCAUUAAUCAAGUAUGAUUAAUUUUGUCUUUGUAGGGAUGAAUACAAAUGAGCUUGUCAAAAUACAUAGAUCAAAGCAACUGCAGUUACCCUCAGUUUCGUCAGGGAUACCUUAUGAUUCACAUUCAGUUUGCCAAAGUAAAACUAAUGAUGAUGAGAUAGCUUUGGCAAACAAACAGCACUUGAAAGAAUUUGGAGAGACUCUUGUCAAGCGUAUUGUGACUUCACCGAGGCUAACGGAUGAAAAACAAAGAUCUGUCUACAAAAUGUUACUUUCGCAAGUUGAAGCUUAUGCAGAAUUUCAAACUCAUUCCACAGAUAAACAAAAAAGAGUGGGAGCCAUGACAGAAGCCAUAAUACAAAAUUAUGAGCAAUUCUUAAAGGAUCACGGUUUAGAUGGGUCCUCUGAAAGUCAUUUUCAAUUGCCAAUCAUUAAAGACUCUUGAGCAUCUGUGGAGUGAUGAUCUCUCUGGUUAUUUUGAUAAAAUGGCAGAGCAGUAUCUUGCAACUGAUAGAAUGAAAGAGAAGUUAAACCUGGAGACAAUUAGCAUGAAGACAAUGAAAAGGAAAACCAUCUGAAUUGCUGCAAAGUUCCGGUGGAACGUUCUGGUGUGUCAUGUUCAGGUGAAUACGAAUGCCUUUUGGGACAUCAUGAUAUUAUGGGAGGAGCAGGUGUUCUUUAUCAGGGAACUGAUUGGCAAAGCCACAGCUGCAGGUAGCGAGGAAGUUACGCAAAAGGGCACAGACUGGACGAUUAGAAUGGAAAAGCCCUAGUAAGUCAGCUUGAUUUAAACAACAAUAUUGUUGUCAUGUACAUGUACAUGUACAGGCUUAAAUUUUUGUUUUUUUUGCUAGGGAUAGGUAGUGCCCUUAUAUUCAAUGCUCUAAUUGUAAAUAAUUAUUACCAUUUAUUGGGUGUUGCUGAGUUAAUUAUCAUUGCCAUACUCAAAUGCUUGAUAGGAAGUAUUUGUAUACUCACAUAUUGCCUACUGUAUUUUUCAACUGCACCAACUGAGGUUUGGGAGUUAUAACGGGUGCCUUUUAUGUGAUCUAUACAUCAAAAAUAAGCAUGUAACAUUUAUAAUAAUGUAGUUAAAUUAAUACCUGACAAUGGACUUUCAAACUUAAUUGCUUCAAUUUGAUUGCCCCUGCACUAUGGAGUGACGCGGUUCUGGACUCAGUAAAGAUGGUCCAGCUGCAUUUCUUUUUUCAUGAACUCCAUGGAGAAAUAAAUACUGUGUAUACAAGUGUUUGUAUUUUUUAUAACAGGCAAGACAUUAACCUGAUGCAAAGAGAACAAUAAUUGUCAGAAAUCUUUAGCUGGGUUGUUUUGGGUAAUCUCAGCUAUGAUGAGACAAAAACCUCAUAUAGAUUGACAGGUAGACAUGAUGAUAUAGAAUACAAAUAUUCUUACGUACUAGUAAGAUGUUAGUUCAUGACCAUGUUUUUAAUUAAUGUCAUUGAAGUUUUCUUUUUGACAGCUGCUUUGAGGUGUGAGAUGGUGCAAUGUGGCAGAAAUAAUGCAAAAUUGGCUUUCCAUAAAUUCCAAAUCACCAGCAUGGGGUCUUUUAGAUCAUUAUUUCUGUUUGUCUUUCCGUAGUUUUUGUUCACAACAUUGCAGCUUGGUUGGUGGUAUGGACAGAAAUCUGUUGUCAAACUCUUGUUAGAACAUGGUGCAAAUGUUAAUGCCACAGAUAGGGUGAGUUUUCAGAAUACUUGUUAUCUAGUUUACAUUUACUCAUGAUUCUUUGCAAAGAAAACAGUGCCAAUUCUUCAGUGUGGUUUCAUGUCCCAAACCUUAGUGCGUUAUCUGUAAUGACGUUCAUAAUAAUGAGCUAACAGAGUUAUAAUGCAAUCAGCCACAGUAUUAGUUCGUGCACAAAACUGGCGCAAACAAAAGAAUACACAAGGAGUCAUGACAAUGUGGCUGGACCUGUCAGAUCUUGCGAGUAAUGUAGCCUGUGUCUUGCUUCAUUGUCUGGCACUACAAUUUUGAAGUUAUUUAGAGUUCUUUU